CCCGUCGGGCAGCGGGGCAGCCGCCCGGGCGCUAACGGCCCCGCCGCUCCUUUCCAGCGCCGGCUGUGGCACGCGUCGGCUGUCAGCUCAAAUCCCGGCAUCGACGUGGUUAUGUUGCCGGUGGUUACGACGCUGCUUUGUCCGUAGGCUUUUAGAACCAACGGUGCAGGUGGCAUUUUCCUCGUACGAUUGUACCAAGAGGUCGAGCUGCAACGUACACGGGCAGUUAAGGAAACAAAGCCUUUCGGUCACCACCUUGUUGCGAAAGUCCUCAGCACUCCGUAAGCAAACCAGCAGAUCCGUAUGUAGUGGCUGGAAUUCAUCGUGCCGCUGUAUGGAGGCACUGGGUGCUGAAGAAGCAUCUGACUUCGGUGAGGUGAAGGAUGUACUUUCAGCUGAGGACUGAACUCAGACUAGAUAUUAGGAGGAAAUUCUUUACCGUGAGGGUGGUGAGACGGUGGAACAGGCUGCCCAGCGAGGCUGUGGAUGCCCCCACCCUGGAAGCAUUAAGGCCAGGCUGGAUGGGGCUGUGAGCAACCUGCUCUAGUGGGAGGUGUUCCUGCCUAUAUCAAGGGGGGUGGAACUACAUGGUCCCUUCUAACCCAAACCAAUCGAUGAUUCUGAGCAAUUGGCAGCAGAACACCCUUCCCAUAGUGUAAAGGAAGGGAAAUCCUGCUCUGUGGACAUGGUUUUAAUGGAGCCACCAGGUUUUAUGAGGAAAAAUAUAUGGCAUUUUCAGACCUAUCCGUGAGCAGUUGUUGGCUUUCGCUAUGACAUGCUCAACAGCUGUUCACAGGUCUACCUCCCAUGCAAAUCAGUCACUUCUUAGUUAGGUUAGGGCAGCCUGCCUGUGUUUGAACGUUUCUGUGGACAGGAUUACUUCUCCAUUUAAUAGAUACUUUGAGUGAUAAAUCUUAUUAUUCAUUAAUAGCACAGGGGACCAUUAAGUGGCCCGUAUCUGUAUACAGAGAACAGCAGCUCUGAGUAUGGCUCUGUGAAUCACCUGGAAACCUGAAGUUAGACUUUUCCUUCCUGAUCUGUACUCAGUCACCACAUUGCCCUCUUCCUUCACUCACUGUAUCUUCCUUUGUCUUUGCUCUUACUAAGAAAUCUUCUUUAAAUGACAAUUGCUUUAAGUGUCUGCAAUUCUUGCUAUUACCAAUGUGACUACAACUCAGCACUCUUAAGCUCUGUUGCCUCCUCACUGCCACUUCUCUCUCCAAGUUAACGUAUGAAAAGCUCAACACACUCCUUUUAAUGGAAGAUCAGUGCAGUUUUUGACACAUUAUUAGUAAAAUAGACGUGUAGUCCUAUGAGAAACAGAUAAACAUUAAGUAUGUCAUACACAAGGAAUGGAAUGCCUAUCAACUGGCUGCCUGGUGUGCAUAUGUUACCAAGCCAAAGUGAACAUGCAUAUAAUGGAGGGAUACUAAAGACAAGAACAGCAGAAAUCUAACAUACGUUUUAGUUUCUUUUCUGAGCCAGUUAGAAUUCUAAGUAUUACCAUCACAUAGCUACUGAUCAGCCUGCAUAUUGUACAGGGAACAUUUGAAUGCAUUAGAUAUUAUUUAUCAGGAUGACUCUAGAGCAGAUACUUAGCCAUGCUGACUUGUGAUGAUCAUUCACUUUAUGCUGACCAAGACUGGUGUAUUAACUUUAGAUGGGGUAAUCCAUUAACUGCUUCUCUAAGAAAGAUAAUAAAUCCAAAUACCCCAUCAUUGGAAACAUAAAAUUCUUCACUGCCUUGAGACCUGCUCUCAAAUAGCCCCUCUUACUUGCUUUAUGUUUUCCUAACAUCUUCCACCCAGUGCUCUCUUAGAACCACAGAAUCACAAAGGUUGGAAAAGACCCACAGGAUCAUCCAGUCCAACCAUUCGCCCUUCACCAAUGGUUCUCGCUAAACCACGUCCCUCAACACAACAUCCAAAUGCUCUUUGAACACCACCAGGCUCGGUGACUCCACCACCUCUCUGGGCAGCCCACUCCAGUGCCUGACCACCCUUUCAGAGAAGCAGUAUUUCCUAACGUCCAGCCUGAACCUUCCCUGGCGCAGCCACAAUACACUGCAUAUGUUCAAGAACUACUUGAGACCAGUGUAAAAUGUGCUAUUUUUUUUCCUUUUCCUACCUCUCAGCAGCAUUUUUGGCAUACUGAUAAUUAAAAAAAAAACCCACCUAACUGUUAAAGAACAAACAAGUAGAACAUAUUACCAUAGGGUAACCCUACCACCUCCACUGAGCCAGCAGUUCAGCAGGCUGGUUCCACUGAGAUGCCUUACCUGCCAGAACAGGUUUCUAGGCUUGUCCUCGUGUGCUUUAACUGAACGUCUUUUCUUCUAAGUUGCAUUUUCAGUGCUAUUUUCACACACCUCUGUGUAAGCAAGAAUAGAGAUAUGAAAGAUUAAAAUAAAUAUUUGACAAAACACAGGCUCAUGGGUGAAACAACUAAUAGGAUUAUUCUGCAUGCAUGUUGCUGCCGUCCUUCAUCUCCAAGGGCACACAAACAAAGAAUAACUACCCGUAACAAUAGGUAACAGUCAGUGCCAUGGAACGCUUUCUGACUGUAGAGAUCCAGCUGAUACUGCUGGCUAAAGUAUUUGCCCUGCUGUCAUUUACGAAAUGUAGUUUUAAAAGGUGAACAGUAGGUCAUUAUCCUUCCUUAAGCCCAAGUCUCUCUGAAGGUGGUAGCAGAAGGCACCAACUGGACACAAAAAGAAAUGAAGACUGUGUUCCUAAGCUACCUUUUACGUUUUUGAAUGUCCUAAUGUAACUGAUGAAUUGACUGAGCACUGUGAUGCAGAAACGUCAGUUCAACCAGUAGCAUUUGUGUCAUCGGACGUUCUCUGCUGGAUCACUCAGUUGCACGUAGGACCAAAUGAAGCUCUGGGUUAAGAGUUUACACUUGCUUGUUAGACACUGAAAGAGACCAUCAAGGUUAGAACAGAAAGUGACAUUAACACCCCUGAAAUCCCUGACUUAUAUAGUAUCACCUUUAUCUUUAGCCAUAUUUACAGUAAUUAGGCACUGCAUCUUUUUAAUAACUCAUAAAAAGCUGUGAAAGAAAUAUCAAAAAGGCAUGCUUUAUUUUUGAAGUAAUAAUUGGUUACAGUUUGUGUUCCAAAUGCAGAUUUUAACAUAUUUUAUGAGUAAAAAAAAUAAUAG
ensembl:lncRNA